rnacentral:rRNA from 1 species
CACGUAGGGCGCAAGCGUUGUCCGGAAUUAUUGGGCGGAAAGAGCUCGUAGGCGGACUGUCACGUCCGCUGGGAAAAGCUAGGGCUUAACCCUGGCCUUGCAGUGGAUACGGGCAGACUAGAGGUAGGUAGGGGAGAAUGGAAUUCCCGGUGUAGCGGUGAAAUGCGCAGAGAUCAGGAGGAACACCCGUAGCGAAGGCGGCACUCUGGGCCGAUACUGACACUGAGGAGCGAAAGCGUGGGGAGCGAACAGG